AUUGAACGCUGGCGGCAUGCUUUACACAUGCAAGUCGAACGGCAGCGGGGGCUUCGGCCUGCCGGCGAGUGGCGAACGGGUGAGUAAUGCAUCGGAACGUGCCCAUGUCGUGGGGGAUAACGUAUCGAAAGGUACGCUAAUACCGCAUACGUCCUGAGGGAGAAAGCGGGGGAUCUUCGGACCUCGCGCGAUUGGAGCGGCCGAUGUCGGAUUAGCUAGUAGGUGAGGUAAAGGCUCACCUAGGCGACGAUCCGUAGCGGGUCUGAGAGGAUGAUCCGCCAGACUGGGACUGAGACACGGCCCAGACUCCUACGGGAGGCAGCAGUGGGGAAUUUGGGACAAUGGGCGCAAGCCUGAUCCAGCCAGGCCGCGUGAGUGAAGAAGGCCUUAGGGUUGUAAAGCUCUUUCGGCCGGGAAGAAAUCGUGUUCUCUAACAUAGGACAUGGAUGACGGUACCGGACUAAGAAGCACCGGCUAACUACGUGCCAGCAGCCGCCGUAAAAC
rnacentral:rRNA from 1 species